GAUCAUGGCUCAGAUUGAACGCUGGCGGCACGCCUAACACAUGCAAGUCGAGCGGUAGCAUGAGUAGUAGCAAUACUACUUGAUGACGAGCGGCGGACGGGUGAGGAACACGUAGGAAUCUACCCUCAAGCGGGGGAUAACCAAGGGAAACUUUGGCUAAUACCGCAUAAUCUCGGGAGAGAAAAGCUACCCGCAAGGGCGGCACUUGAGGAGGAGCCUGCGUCCGAUUAGCUAGUUGGCAGGGUAAAAGCCUACCAAGGCGAUGAUCGGUAACUGGUCUGAGAGGACGACCAGUCACACUGGGACUGAGACACGGCCCAGACUCCUACGGGAGGCAGCAGUGGGGAAUAUUGGACAAUGGGGGCAACCCUGAUCCAGCGAUGCCGCGUGAGUGAAGAAGGCCCUCGGGUCGUAAAGCUCUUUAGGCCGGGAAGAAGUGAAUAUGGUGCAUAGCCAUGUUUAUUGACGGUACCGGCAGAAUAAGCACCGGCAAACUCUGUG
rnacentral:rRNA from 1 species